rnacentral:rRNA from 1 species
GGUGGAUUAGUGGCGAACGGGUGAGUAACACGUGAGUAACCUGCCCUUAACUCUGGGAUAAGCCUGGGAAACUGGGUCUAAUACCGGAUAGGAGCGUCCACCGCAUGGUGGGUGUUGGAAAGAUUUAUCGGUUUUGGAUGGACUCGCGGCCUAUCAGCUUGUUGGUGAGGUAAUGGCUCACCAAGGCGACGACGGGUAGCCGGCCUGAGAGGGUGACCGGCCACACUGGGACUGAGACACGGCCCAGACUCCUACGGGAGGCAGCAGUGGGGAAUAUUGCACAAUGGGCGAAAGCCUGAUGCAGCGACGCCGCGUGAGGGAUGACGGCCUUCGGGUUGUAAACCUCUUUCAGUAGGGAAGAAGCGAAAGUGACGGUACCUGCAGAAGAAGCACCGGCUAACUACGUGCCAGCAGCCGCGGUAAUACGUAGGGUGCGAGCGUUAUCCGGAAUUAUUGGGCGUAAAGAGCUCGUAGGCGGUUUGUCGCGUCUGUCGUGAAAGUCCGGGGCUUAACCCCGGAUCUGCGGUGGGUACGGGCAGACUAGAGUGCAGUAGGGGAGACUGGAAUUCCUGGUGUAGCGGUGGAAUGCGCAGAUAUCAGGAGGAACACCGAUGGCGAAGGCAGGUCUCUGGGCUGUAACUGACGCUGAGGAGCGAAAGCAUGGGGGAGCGAACAGGAUUAGAUACCCCUGGUAGUCCAUGCCCGUAAACGUUGGGGCACUAAGGUGUGGGGGACCAUUUCACCGGUUUCCCCCGCCGCAGCUUAACGCAUUUAAUUGCCCCCGCCUGGGGGAGUACCGGCCGCCAAGGCUAAAAACUUCAAAAGGAAUUUGACGGGGGGCCCCGCACAAAGCCGCCGGAACCAUGGCGGAUUUAAUUUC